UACGUAGGGUGCGAGCGUUAAUCGGAAUUACUGGGCGUAAAGUGUGCGCAGGUGGCGCUGUAAGUCAGGUGUGAAAUUUCGGAGCUUAACUCCGAAACUGCAUUUGAUACUGCGGUGCUUGAGGACUGGAGAGGAGACUGGAAUUCACGGUGUAGCAGUGAAAUGCGUAGAGAUCGUGAGGAAGACCAGUGGCGAAGGCGGGUCUCUGGACAGUUCCUGACACUGAGGCACGAAGGCCAGGGGAGCAAACGGG
rnacentral:rRNA from 1 species